rnacentral:rRNA from 1 species
UACGUAGGGGGCAAGCGUUGUCCGGAUUUAUUGGGUGUAAAGCGCGUGUAGGCGGCCAGGUAGGUCCGCUGUGAAAACCCGAGGCUCAACCUCGGGACGUCGGCGGAAACCAUUUGGCUAGAGUCCGGAAGAGGAGAGUGGAAUUCCCGGUGUAGCGGUGAAAUGCGCAGAUAUCGGGAAGAACACCCGUGGCGAAGGCGGCUCUCUGGGACGGUACUGACGCUGAGACGCGAAAGCGUGGGGAGCGAACAGG